rnacentral:rRNA from 1 species
AGUGAACGCUGGCGGCGUGCUUAACACAUGCAAGUCGAACGAGAACGGAAUAUAGCUUGCUAUAUUUGUCAACUAAGUGGCGCACGGGUGAGUAAUGUAUAGAUAACCUGCCCUUAAGAAAGGAAUAACAGUUGGAAACGACUGCUAAUGCCCUAUAUGCCUUUAAUACAUAAGUAUGCAAGGGAAACGCUUUAGUGCUUAAGGAUGGGUCUGUAUGGUAUCAGCUUGUUGGUGAGGUAAUGGCUCACCAAGGCUAUGACGCCUAACUGGUUUGAGAGGAUGAUCAGUCACACUGGAACUGAGACACGGUCCAGACUCCUACGGGAGGCAGCAGUGGGGAAUAUUGCACAAUGGACGAAAGUCUGAUGCAGCAACGCCGCGUGGAGGAUGACACAUUUCGGUGCGCAAACUCCUUUUAUAUAGGAAGAUAAUGACGGUACUAUAUGAAUAAGCACCGGCUAACUCCGUGCCAGCAGCCGCCGUAA